rnacentral:lncRNA from 1 species
CCUUCGACCAUGUAAAAAAAGGUAUAAAAUAUAUCUUUCAUAUAAACUAAUAAAAAUUUAAGUGAAGGAGACUAGCGGGAGAAUAUCAAUAACUUUAUGGAUCCCAUCUACAUUAAAAAAAAAAAAAAAAAAAAAAAAAAAAAAAAAAAAAAAAAAAAAAAAAAAAAAAAAAAAAAAAAAAAAAAAAAAAAAAAAAAAAAAAAAAAAAAAA